rnacentral:misc_RNA from 1 species
GAUGAAGAACGUAGUGAAAUGCGAUACUUGGUGUGAAUUGCAGAAUCCCGUGAACCAUCGAGUCUUUGAACGCAAGUUGCGCCCGAAGCCAUUAGGCCGAGGGCACGCCUGCCUGGGCGUCACACGUCGUUGCCCCCCCAUCUACUCCUUCGGGAUUGCGGGGGGCGGAUGAUGGCUUCCCGUGCGCCUCGCCGCGCGGUUGGCAUAAAUGCCAAGUCCUCGGCGACGCACGCCACGACAAUCGGUGGUUGCAAAACCUCGGUUGCCCGUCGUGUGCGGUCGUCGCGAAUCGAGGGCUCGAAAAAAUUGCCGGGUUCCGGCUCGGCUUUCAACGCGACCCCAGGUCAGGCGGGGUUACCCGCUGAAUUUAAGCAUAUCAAUAAGCGGAGGA